rnacentral:misc_RNA from 1 species
UUUCCGUAGGUGAACCUGCGGAAGGAUCAUUCACAAUAAGUGUUUUCUGGCACUCUUUAAACAAUCCAUUUCCAUCUUUUAUGCAAGGUUAUGCGACCCGCUAUCGUUAUCUUUUAGGUUACGGAAGGGGGGACCUCUACAACCUACCAACAUCCCUUUUAACUUAUUUGUCUAAACAUUAGUUAUCACGAAUUAUCUUAAUUCGAAAGUACAACUUUCAACAACGGAUCUCUUGGCUCUG